rnacentral:rRNA from 1 species
GUGCCAGCAGCCGCGGUAAUACGGAGGGUGCAAGCGUUGUUCGGAAUCACUGGGCGUAAAGCGCGUGUAGGCGGCCUUCUAAGUUCGGUGUGAAAGCCCGGGGCUCACCCCCGGAAGUGCACCGGAUACUGGGAGGCUAGAGUACCGGAGAGGAGGGUGGAAUUCCUGGUGUAGCGGUGAAAUGCGUAGAUAUCAGGAAGAACACCGGUGGCGAAGGCGGCCCUCUGGACGGAUACUGACGCUGAGACGCGAAAGCGUGGGGAGCAAACAGGAUUAGAAACCCCUGUAGUCC